CAGAGACUCACCCAAGCUACAGAAGAAAUGGAGAUUUGCUUAAGUUGCAGAGUUUUGAUGGAGAGAUAUUUGCAGUUGAUGUGGAAAUUGCCAAACAAUCUGUGACUAUCAAGACCACGUUGGAAGAUUUGGGAAUGGAUGAUGAAGGAGAUGACCCAGUUCCUCUACCAAAUGUGAAUGCAGCAGUAUUAAAAAAGGUCAUUCAGUGGUGCACCCACCACAAGGAUGACCCUCCUCCCCCUGAAGAUGAUGAGAACAAAGAAAAGCAAACAGACGAUAUCCCUGUUUGGGACCAAGAAUUCCUGAAAGUUGCUCAAGGAACACUUUUUGAACUCAUUCGGGCUGCAAACUACUUAGACAUCAAAGGUUUGCUUGAUGUUACAUGCAAGACUGUUGCCAAUAUGAUCAAGGGGAAAACUCCUGAGGAGAUUCGCAAGACAUUCAAUAUCAAAAAUGACUUUACUGAAGAGGAGGAAGCCCAGGUACGCAAAGAGAACCAGUGGUGUGAAGAGAAGUGAAAUGUUGUGCCUGACACUGUAACACUGUAAGGAUUGUUCCAAAUACUAGUUGCACUGCUCUGUUUAUAAUUGUUAAUAUUAGACAAACAGUAGACAAAAGCAGUGGCAAGUCAAUUGUAUUAGCAGAAUAUUGUCCUCAUUGCAUGUGCAGUUUGAGUACAGAUUCCAAACCUAUGGCUGAGUUUCUUCUAGUAUGAUCAAAA
rnacentral:lncRNA from 1 species